AUAACGGCGAUGGUGGGGAGUAGUACCUUGAUCCAUUCUGAAACCAGAGAGUCAGUGAUUGGGUGAAAGCUGACCGGAAUCUUAAGGGAACUCGCCUCACCGCUUUGCAGAGGAACAAGCGUGUCGCCUUCAGUACUCUGUAACGAUUCAUCCUCGAUAUCGGAUUCUCCAAGAGCGAGCAUUUUUUCAAAUGCUAAUCAGGGUGGUACCGCGGGAAUUAGAUCAUGUGAUCCAACCUCUCGUCCCUAGU
rnacentral:ncRNA from 1 species